rnacentral:lncRNA from 1 species
CAAAAUUGAGAAAAUUCAUUUGUAGUAAUUUUUUUUUUUGAAAGGUGCAAUUAAAUAUUUUAUAAUCUUCUUGCCAUCUUUGCUAGACUAACUCGGUAACUGCUGCAUUUUUUUACUAUACCAAAAAUACAAAUCCUGGUUAGAAGUGUGCAUUAAAAUUCGUAAAAUAGAAAAUCAAACUAUUUAAACCAUUUACAUCUCCAUAGUAGAAGAAAUUGAAAUAAAAAUGGGAGAAGAGCUAAAGAA